rnacentral:rRNA from 1 species
AACCGUGCGGCGUGCUUACACCUGCAGUCUGAACGAACCUUCGGGUUAGUGGCGGACGGGUGAGUAACGCGUGAGAAUCUGCCCUCAGGAGGGGGAUAACGGCUGGAAACGGCCGCUAAUACCCCAUAUGCCGCGAGGUGAAAUGAAUUUCGCCUGAGGAUGAGCUCGCGUCUGAUUAGCUAGUUGGUGGGGUAAGAGCCUACCAAGGCAUCGAUCAGUAGCUGGUCUGAGAGGAUGAUCAGCCACACUGGGACUGAGACACGGCCCAGACUCCUACGGGAGGCAGCAGUGGGGAAUUUUCCGCAAUGGGCGAAAGCCUGACGGAGCAACGCCGCGUGAGGGAUGAAGGCCUCUGGGCUGUAAACCUCUUUUAUCAAGGAAGAAGAUCUGACGGUACUUGAUGAAUAAGCCACGGCUAAUUCCGUGCCAGCAGCCGCGGUAAUACGGGAGUGGCAAGCGCUAUCCGGAAUUAUUGGGCGUAAAGCGUCCGCAGGCGGUUUUGUAAGUCUGUUGUUAAAGCGUGGAGCUUAACUCCAUUUGAGCAAUGGAAACUGCAAGACUAGAGUGUGGUAGGGGCAGAGGGAAUUCCCGGUGUAGCGGUGAAAUGC